rnacentral:rRNA from 1 species
UGCGUAGGCAGCAAGCGUUGUUCGGAGUUACUGGGCGUAAAGGGUGCGUAGGCGGCUUUUUAAGUUUGGUGUGAAAUCUCCCGGCUCAACUGGGAGGGUGCGCCGAAUACUGAGAGGCUAGAGUGUGGGAGAGGAAAGUGGAAUUCCUGGUGUAGCGGUGAAAUGCGUAGAUAUCAGGAGGAACACCGGUGGUGUAAACGGCUUUCUGGACCAUAACUGACGCUGAGGCACGAAAGCGUGGGUAGCAAACAGG